GUAGUCGGAGCCGUGCACUCGAGCCAAUGGUGAUCGUGCAACGUCGUUGGGAACACACUGUGCGCUCCUUAACGUCAGUCUCGUCGCGGUGCUCCGUCUUUGCACGUCACGUCGUCACGUAGCGUAACGUAACGUAACGUUCUCGAGAAGAGAGACCGACGCGUUAUCGGGAAGAGACGAUCGGGCCGCGAUUCAGCUGUCAUCGUCGCGUACGACACGCGCGAUCGAUCCGAGUCACGCGAGACUCUCUCGUUUCCCUACGAGGAGGAGAGGCGCGACCGCUCGCUCAACCGAUCGCCGAGCACUCACGAUCCCGUCGGGGCCCCGUCGUCGUGCUAAUCGCGUUUAAAGACCGCGUGGAAGCUGCAACUCUUCUUCGGUUCACGUAGCCCGCAGCGGGACCCGCGCAGAACGCAGAGCUCCGGUCGCCUUCGAGGCGAGUCUUCGCCGAGAGGGCAUCCACCUGGGCGGUGGACAGCGUCAUCCGGCACGAGCAGCUCGACGGUCGACGACUAGGUCGUCGUCCAGUGAGGCAGGCGACAUCGCGGACCCAGGCAGGCCGACGAAAGGUCACGCCAUGCCGGCAGGUAUUGGCGCUUCGUACAGGUCCCUAGGCGACCUGGGCGAAGACGUCUACAAAAGCACGACCAUCGUCGACCAGACGCAGACCACCAGCCAGAGCGUCCUCGAGUCCGUGAAGAAGGCGUUUAGCUUCGCCUCGCCCAAGGUCGAGAUCCGCAAGAAGGACCCGCUGAUCGAGGACCGCCGCGAGAGCGUCUCGAUCGUCUCCAGGGAGAGAAACAGGAUGCCGACAGCAGCAGCCACCGCCGAGGAAUCUGCUCUGUUGGGCACGAUGCCCUCCGAUAGCAUGGACGACAUCGAGCUGAAGAACAUUCAGCUGCAAUUUCCGGCUCUGAGAUACCUCUCUAGGGACGACGGCUCCGUGCGGGAAGAAAGGGUGGAGACCGACAAGGGAAGUUUGCUGGUGGCGGUGCAAGGAAAUCGAGCGAAACCAGCUAUCCUCACUUAUCACGAUCUAGGCCUUAAUUACAUCUCGAGCUUCCAGGCGUUCUUCAAUUACAUCGACAUGCGUGUUCUACUCGAAAACUUCUGCGUGUACCACGUAAACGCACCCGGGCAAGAGGAGGGCGCACCGACGCUACCCGAGGACUACACCUAUCCGUCCAUGGAGGAGCUCGCGGAACAGCUGCUCUUCAUUCUCGGCCACUUUGGCAUCAAGUCCGUAAUUGGCUUCGGGGUCGGUGCCGGCGCCAAUAUCCUGGCGCGAUUCGCACUCGCCCAUCCGGAGAAAGUUAAUGCACUGUGCCUGAUAAACUGCGUGUCCACGCAGGCGGGAUGGAUCGAGUGGGGUUAUCAAAAGAUGAACGUGCGCCACCUGAGGUCGCAGGGCAUGACCCAGGGCGUCCUCGAUUAUCUGAUGUGGCAUCAUUUCGGCAGGGGGACCGAGGAGCGAAAUCAUGACCUGGUGCAGGUGUACAAGAACUACUUCGAGCGCCGCGUGAACCCGACGAAUCUCGCCUUGUUCAUCGACAGUUACGUCCGUCGCACGGAUCUCAACAUAACGAGGGAAUUGGACCCGACGCGCAAGAAGGAGGGCCUGACGCUUAGGGUGCCGGUGAUGAACAUCACCGGUGCUCUAAGCCCUCACGUCGACGACACCGUAACGUUAAACGGACGCCUGGAUCCGACGAACAGCUCCUGGAUGAAGAUAUCGGACUGCGGCAUGGUGUUGGAAGAGCAGCCCGGUAAAGUAAGCGAGGCGUUCCGGCUGUUUCUCCAGGGCGAGGGAUACGGUAAGUGAGCGUUUUCGCGAGCCAUACUCUCUAGAGAUUAAUUAAUUCACCGAACUAUCGAUUCGACAAUUCUCAUUGAUCUUCACUGGUGUAAGCAAUUCGCGCACGCGUCGUCGGGUUUCGUAAGAUGUCUCGUGAUCGCCUGCAAGCGGAAGACUGCGAGACACGUCGGUAAUUACUGCCAACUACGAUCGUAUCUAGGAGAGACUCGUGUCGGGAUGUCGUAAGAGAGCUUUCGGCGGAAACGCGGAUGUGAAUGGUAUAUAAAUCUUUUUUUCGCGAAAACAAGAACCAAACAACUUCAGCGCAUUGCAGGCGGUCGCGCAACUUCUCGCACGGCUAAACGCACGUCGAAGCGGGCAGGCGCAGGGAGACUUUGACCGUGGCUAGAGUUAAAUUCUAGAGUUAAAUUCGCUCUAUCGAUCGGUGUAUCGUGUCGCUGUCUCGAUUGAAUUUGGCCUACUGGAUCUUUAACAUAAUAAUCGUCGAUUGUCCCCGCGCGACCACAUUCCCUUUCAACGAUAGAUGCUACACGAAUAAUUCGUAAGCUCUUGCGCAGCUUGCGAGGAUCGAAAAGUACCGCGGACUCGACAAAAAUCUAAAAAUAGGAGAUCGUGAAAAUUAACAAUUGGCGAACUGUAUCGUUUCAACGACGAGUAUCUUAGUAAUACUACCGUUUGGCCGUUUGUUGCAACUCACGAUUCCUCAGAUUCCGACUGGUCUCGGGCUCGGACGACAAAGUCACGCUUGUAAAUUUCGAUCGAAUCGUUCGUGUAAUCUAACUUUAACUUUGAUAAUGACUGUGAGAGGAGGUGGUAGAGUUGAACGGUAACGGUGCAUUCGCGUGAUGCAACCUAAAUGCACGUUCUCUCUAAGUAAAUGUAUAUCAAAUCAAGACUUUGCAAAAUAGUCAUCGUUAUACGACGAGUUAACGUCUUAGCUAACUUUAAGAUGUCGAAACUUUGUUCUUUUAUAGCAAUGUUGCGUACAUUGUUUUACGUUACGGAGCGUGACUUCGCGCUGUGACAACCGUUGUGCUUACGUGAUUACGCGAGAGAAACGUUGUAGAAAGAAACUUACACUCAUGUGUAAGUUCACAAUGGAAUGACGCUUCUCUUUCUCGUCACAAGUCAGGUUUAUCGUUUCUUUCGGCUUUUUAAGUCACAAGAACACUAUGCUGAACCACUGAACAUCAUGCUUUCUCACGAGCCGUCGUAGACGAAGUCUACCCACCAAGGUCCGGCUAGAUAAUUACGCAAAUUGAUUUCACGUCGCGUGUCUUUCGGUUCUUUACCCCCGACUUGCUUUCACUCACCGAUCAGUACAAAAGUUACGUCAUUUCUCAUCAACGAAUGACCGCGAAUGACAUUCAAACACGGCCUCGAGUGAGUCGUCGCGCCAAAUAGAUCUGUCGUUUCUCGUCGCAUCGCACAUCUCGUCACCGUCGUUAACUGUGUUGUUGUUGCGAUCGUCGAAUUUCGCUAUACUAGCAGAAUUUCCACGUUGUACAAGUGACGCGAUAUUUGGACAUCGCUGAAUCCGAGUGUGAGAACAGGACUGAUAUUGCGUGUACUAUACUUCGUUUGUCGCGAUCAGAGCUGGAUGUACCACUACGACAAGAUUCACACUAAAUAAGCCGCUUUAUCUCUGUGCUGACGAAAGGCGGCGAAAGGCGCCUGAUUACACCGACAUUCAAAAAUACGUACUCGAGCAUGUAUCUCUGUUCAUUGAGAGCCAUUGGUUUGACUUGAUAAAUAAAAAAGAGUGACUCUGUGAAAAGGAAUUGCAUUGAAUUCGCCUGCGACUUUUUACCGCUAUACCGCUAUACUUUCGAGCUAUAUUAGAGAGAGAUAGAAAGAAAUAGAGAAAGAGAUAAAACAAAGAAAUAAGGCAAAUAAGAGAAAAGAGUAUUAUACAUGUUCAUCGACUUGCGCCUUUAUUUCCCACGCGUCUCGGAUCGAUCGAGUGUGGUGAGAUCCCCGCGGAAGCCCGUGAAGCCAACAACACCCGAAGUGGCCCCGCUGUCGCCGUUAAAGAUGGCCGACUACAGAUUGGCUUCGUUGGAGGGACUGAAUCACGUCUGCA
rnacentral:misc_RNA from 1 species